AGAGUUUGAUCCUGGCUCAGGAUGAACGCUGGCGGCGUGCCUAAUACAUGCAAGUCGAGCGAACAGAUAAGGAGCUUGCUCCUUUGACGUUAGCGGCGGACGGGUGAGUAACACGUGGGUAACCUACCUAUAAGACUGGAAUAACUCCGGGAAACCGGGGCUAAUGCCGGAUAAUAUUUAGAACCGCAUGGUUCUAAAGUGAAAGAUGGUUUUACUAUCACUUAUAGAUGGACCCGCGCCGUAUUAGCUAGUUGGUGGGGUAAUGGCUUACCAAGGCAACGAUACGUAGCCGACCUGAGAGGGUGAUCGGCCACACUGGAACUGAGACACGGUCCAGACUCCUACGGGAGGCAGCAGUAGGGAAUCUUCCGCAAUGGGCGAAAGCCUGGCGGAGCAACGCCGCGUGAGUGAUGAAGGUCUUCGGAUCGUAAAACUCUGUUAUUAGGGAAGAACAAAUGUGUAAGUAACUGUGCACGUCUUGACGGUACCUAAUCAGAAAGCCACGGCUAACUACGUG
rnacentral:rRNA from 1 species